AGCGAACGCUGGCGGCAGGCCUAACACAUGCAAGUCGAACGAACUCUUCGGAGUUAGUGGCGGACGGGUGAGUACCACGUGGGAACGUGCCUUUUGGUUCGGAAUAACUCAGGGAAACUUGUGCUAAUACCGCAUGUGCCCUUCGGGGGAAAGAUUUAUCGCCAUUGGAGCGGCCCGCGUCUGAUUAGCUAGUUGGUGAGGUAACGGCUCACCAAGGCGACGAUCAGUAGCUGGUCUGAGAGGAUGACCAGCCACACUGGGACUGAGACACGGCCCAGACUCCUACGGGGGGGAGCAGUGGGGAGUCUUGCGCAAUGAGCGAAAGCCUGACGCAGCCAUGCCGCGUGAAUGAUGAAGGUCUUAGGAUUGUAAAAUUCUUUGAGCGGGGACGAUAAUGACGGUACCCGGAGAAGAAGCCCCGGCUAACUUCGUG
rnacentral:rRNA from 1 species